GACGAAGGGGGCUAACGUUGUUCGGAAUUACUGGGCGUAAAGCGCGUGUAGGCGGUUGUCCAAGUUGGAUGUGAAAGCCUUGAGCUCAACUCAAGAAAUGCAUUCAGGACUGGAUGACUAGAGGACCGGAGAGGAUAGUGGAAUUCCCAGUGUAGUGGUGAAAUACGUAGAGAUUGGGAAGAACACCAGUGGCGAAGGCGGCUAUCUGGACGGUUUCUGACGCUAAGACGCGAAAGCGUGGGGAGCAAACAGG
rnacentral:rRNA from 1 species